rnacentral:lncRNA from 1 species
UUUUUAUGUAGACAGAGAAGAGUGGGCAAGAAAGUAUUGGAAAUUAGGUAGGAACAGAUACACCAGAAAACUGAAGGCCUGGACUUUCUGUCCUGCUGUACCCAGAGCAGCCCUUCAAGUCCUUCAGGAUUGAGACUUCAGGCUUUCAUCUGCCUGCCCACAGCUGUGAAUGUCAGUUUGGAAAAGUAAGACUCAAGACAUACACCUGAAACUACUUACUCUGUGCCAGUGAUCUGGCUGUGUAUUUGAAAGCACAAGAAAGAAGGAGGCAGUACACUGAAAUGCAGGUGUCUUGUCUCAUAAUAAACACAGACUUGAACACUCUAAGGUGUGUGCCCAGAGAGACAGCAGUCAGUCCCAGUCUGUCCGUCAAGGUGGACAGCAUCACAAGUAAUCAACAGUGGUCACCCCAGGGAUGAAGAUGGAUAUCCGUGGAUGUGCAGCUCUAGGCUUGUGCACCCUAAGCGUCAGCAAGGCAAAAGUUCACUCAUUAAGUUUGUGGUGUUAGGACAUCUGAUUUUACUUGUCUUGGAAAAUGAAUUUGUGAAAUGUGAUCCCUGAACACAUCGUAGAAAGAUGUAAGCUCUUCUAAUGGGAAAAAAAAGGUUAUCAGCUUUUAAAAUGUAUGUGCUUAAGCCCUAAA